GGACCCAUGCAUGUUUGAUGAGGAAGAGACCCCUCCAGAUGUAGAAGAGGAGACUCCUGAGGGACUUGUAACAUUGGUAGAAGAUUCUUUACAACCAGAGUCCAAUGCUUCCCAUGCAAGAUCUCUAACUGCUUUAUGAACAUAAAUUCUGAACACCCCUGUGAGGAAAAGAAAGAAGCCAUCUGGGAUGCUCUCUUCAUUACUCCAUAGGUUUUCGACCCUACCACUUACUAGAGACACAAAAUAACAAAGCGAUGUUACACCUGUUUACAACUACAUCAUUUUAUAAGUGUAUUCAAUUCUCGUACAUAGGAAGAUCUAGCCACUUGUAAAGUUUGUAAUUUUAAAAGUUCAUCCUUUUGAAUUAUCAGUGUACAAAAGAACUAUUAAAUUCCUUUUAAAGUUGAAACAUUUUCUUUUCCUUCGUUCAGAAAAGAUAAUUGCUACAGCCGGUUUUUUAGUUUUAAUUCUCCUUCAAAACACACAUCCAAGACUAAGCACGGAAAGUUCCAGGUCAAAAUGAGAAUUUUUGUAACGUU